GAUGAACGCUGGCGGCGUGCCUAAUACAUGCAAGUCGAACGAAAAGACGCUGAGCUUGUUCCUUGGACGUUAGCGGCGGGCGGGUGUGUAACGCGUGGAACCUCCACCUAUCAUUCUGGGAUAAUUUCGAGACACCGGCGCUUAUACCGGAUGAGCUGCUGAACCGUGGGGGUCAAUAGAAAAUGACGGCGUUGCUGUCUCUACUAGCUGCUUCCGCGCUGGAUUAGCUAGUUGGUACGGUAACGGCCUACCAAGGCUACGAUGCGUAGCCGACCUGAGAGGGUGAUCGGCCACACUGGAACUGAGACACGGUCCAGACGCCUACGGGAGGCAGCAGUAGGGAAUCGGCGGCAAUGGGCGAAAGCCUGACGGAGCAACGCCGCGUGAGUGAAGAAGGCCUUCGGAUCGUAAAGCCCGGUUAUUGGGGAAGAACAGAUGUGUAAGGAGCUAAGGACGUCUUGACGGUACCUAAUCAGAAAGCCACGGCUAACUACGUG
rnacentral:rRNA from 1 species